rnacentral:sRNA from 1 species
AUUCAUCGGCACCUAGGCCCGCGCGGCCCAAGCCGCUGACGAUGCCGAACGU